rnacentral:lncRNA from 1 species
CUCCAGCUCCGGUUCCACCAGUUACUCCUCAAUCCUCCGAACCGGGCUGGAGGAAAAACCCGCAUGUGGCUGCUGUACCCCUCUCCGAUCCGGUGCCCUCGCAAAUCCUCUGUUCACACACUCUUAGUCCUUCCAACCUGCCCGCCCUUUACGAGGCCGAGACCUCUUGACAAAACUCAAAGCUACAUUAUCCUUUACUCCGGCAAACGUGGCCUUAACAGCCCCCACGGAACCUCGCCUAACUCACGUCCCAUCCCCCAGCCUCCAUCAAGUCCCCCAGACGUGUGGGACAGCUCUACUCCUGGCAGAUCUACGGGAGCCACCCCAGUAGGCAUCAGUGCAAAGGACACCAGCUCCUUUCCUAGAGUGUCGCAACAGCCUCUCGAGAAAGAGGCUGCGACGGGACUGAAGCCUCUAAUUUCCAAGUUCCUCCACACAGGGUGUCUGAAGCCUGUUUUCACUGCUUGGCAACGUUCCCUCGAACUGACCAAACAGACUGCUAACCCAGCAGCCCAAAUUAACAUUUUUUUUUUUUUUUGUCUUUUUGCUAUUUCUUGGGCCGCUCCCACGGCAUAUGGAGGUUCCCAAGUUAGGGGUCGAAUCGGAGAGGUCGCCACCGGCCUAUGCCAGAGCCACAGCAACGCGGGAUCCGAGCCGCAUCUGCAACCUACACCAAGCUCACGGCAACGCCAGAUCGUUAACCCACUGAGCAAGGGCAGGGACCAAACCCGCAACCUCAUGGUUCCUAGUCGGAUUGGUUAACCACUGCGCCACGACGGACCCCCAAAUUAACAUUUUAAAAGAACAAAUCAACUCUCUAGUGGGUGUGGACUCGCAGAAUAGAAGAGCUCUGGAUUUACCAGCAGCUAACCAAGGUGGCACCUGCUCUAUGCUAGAGGACGUGCUGUUUCCUCGUCAACCAGUCACACCAAGUCCAGGCUCAUGCUUGAGACAUGACUGAUAGAGCAAAGAGGUUUUAUAAGAGAGGAACCUCAGGCGGACUUGACUGGUGGGAUUUUAAAACCGAUGUCUAGG